AUGCCCAGCUAAUUUUUUGUAUUUUUAGUAGAGACGGGGUUUCACCAUGUUGACCGGGAUGGUCUCGAUCUCUUGACCUCGUGACCCACCCACCUCAGCCUCCCAAAGUGCUGGGAUUACAGGCUUGAGCCACCGCACUCGGCCAGAACUUUUCAACAGAUCCAGAACCGUGACACAGGUGAUACCAAGAAAGCGAAAAGAGACUCACUUUAUUUGGAGAAGGAUGCUGAAAAUGACAUGACCUGGGGUAUUGCCAAAACCAAUGGAGAUCUCAGUGGCAAAUGACCAGGGCUCAAUAGUCACCCUAUACAUCUUGCUGUGUAUGAUACUGAAGUACAAUGAACUGUGGAUACAGAGAUAAAAUGUAAGGAGAAUAAUAUCUUAAUGUGGAC
rnacentral:lncRNA from 13 species